GCAAGCUGAAGCUCCCAGAGCAUCGGUCUUGUAAGCCGAAGGCCGAAUAUGGUACUAUUCCACUUGCU
rnacentral:tRNA from 1 species